rnacentral:rRNA from 1 species
UACAGAGGGUGCGAGCGUUGUUCGGAAUUACUGGGCGUAAAGCGCGCGCAGGCGGCUUCUUAAGUCCAUCGGUGAAAUGCCGGGGGCUCAACCCCGAGUGUGCCGAGGAUACUUGGGGAGGCUGGAGACGGAGUAGAGGCAAGCGGAAUUCCGGGUGUAGCGGUGGAAUGCGUAGAGAUCCGGAAGAACACCGGAGGCGAAGG